rnacentral:tRNA from 1 species
GGGGUCGUAGUCUAGACAGGUAUGACGAUGGGCUCCAGACCCGUAGAGAAUCGAUUAGCGCGAUUCUUGGGCAAAGGUCGUCGGUUCAAAUCCGGCCGGCCCCACCA